CUGCUGGACGACAACUGACGCUGAGGCGCGAAAGCGUGGGGAGCAAACAGGAUUAGAUACCCUGGUAGUCCACGCCGUAAACGAUGGAUACUAGGUGUGGGGGGACUGACCCCUUCCGUGCCGCAGUUAACACAAUAAGUAUCCCACCUGGGGAGUACGAUCGCAAGAUUGAAACUCAAAGGAAUUGACGGGGGCCCGCACAAGCAGUGGAUUAUGUGGUUUAAUUCGACGCAACGCGAAGAACCUUACCGGGAUUUGACAUCCCACUAACGAAGUAGAGAUACAUUAGGUGCCCUUCGGGGAAAGUGGAGACAGGUGGUGCAUGGUUGUCGUCAGCUCGUGUCGUGAGAUGUUGGGUUAAGUCCCGCAACGAGCGCAACCCUUAUUGUUAGUUGCUACGCAAGAGCACUCUAGCGAGACUGCCGUUGACAAAACGGAGGAAGGCGGGGACGACGUCAAAUCAUCAUGCCCCUUAUGUCCCGGGCUACACACGUAAUACAAUGGCGGUCAACAGAGGGAAGCAAAGCCGCGAGGCAGAGCAAAACCCUAAAAGCCGUCUCAGUUCGGAUCGCAGUCUGCAACUCGACUGCGUGAAGUUGG
rnacentral:rRNA from 1 species